rnacentral:rRNA from 1 species
CCUACGGGUGGCAGCAGUUUCGAAUCAUUCACAAUGGGCGAAAGCCUGAUGGUGCGACGCCGCGUGAGGGAUGAAGGUCUUCGGAUCGUAAACCUCUGUCACCGGGGAAGAAACGCUAUACGGAAAUACCGGAUAGCCUGACUUAACCCGGAGAGGAAGCAGUGGCUAACUCUGUGCCAGCAGCCGCGGUAAUACAGAGACUGCGAGCGUUAUUCGGAUUCGCUGGGCGGCGAGCGUGCGCGUGAGGCGGGAAAUCCCGGAGCUUAACUCCGGAACUGCGCCUCAAACUACACGGCUAGAGCAUUGGAGAGGGAAGUGGAAUUCACGGUGUAGCAGUGAAAUGCGUAGAUAUCGUGAGGAACACCAGUGGCGAAGGCGACUUCCUGGACAAUUGCUGACGCUCAGGCACGAAAGCGUGGGGAGCAAAAGGGAUUAGAUACCCCUGUAGUC